rnacentral:rRNA from 1 species
UACGGGGGGGGCAAGCGUUGUUCGGAAUUACUGGGCGUAAAGGGCUCGUAGGUGGCCAACUAAGUCAGACGUGAAAUCCCUCGGCUUAACCGGGGAACUGCGUCUGAUACUGGAUGGCUUGAGUUUGGGAGAGGGAUGCGGAAUUCCAGGUGUAGCGGUGAAAUGCGUAGAUAUCGGAAGGAACACCUGUGGCGAAAGCGGCUCACUGGACCAUAACUGACGCUGAUGCACGAAAGCUAGGGGAGCAAACAGG